AACGGACGCUGGCGGCAGGCCUAACACAUGCAAGUCGAGCGAGGACUUCGGUCCUAGCGGCGGACGGGUGAGUAACGCGUGGGAACGUGCCCUUUGCUUCGGAAUAGCCCUGGGAAACUGGGAGUAAUACCGGAUGAGCCCUUUGGGGGAAAGAUUUAUCGGCGAAGGAUCGGCCCGCGUUGGAUUAGGUAGUUGGUGGGGUAAUGGCCUACCAAGCCGACGAUCCAUAGCUGGUUUGAGAGGAUGAUCAGCCACACUGGGACUGAGACACGGCCCAGACUCCUACGGGAGGCAGCAGUGGGGAAUCUUAGACAAUGGGGGAAACCCUGAUCUAGCCAUGCCGCGUGAGCGAUGAAGGCCUUAGGGUUGUAAAGCUCUUUCAGCUGGGAAGAUAAUGACGGUACCAGCAGAAGAAGCCCCGGCUAACUCCGUG
rnacentral:rRNA from 1 species